UACGUAGGGAGCAAGCGUUGUCCGGAAUCAUUGGGCGUAAAGCGCGCGUAGGUGGCUCUAUAAGUCCGUUGUGAAAGUCAAAGGCUCAACCUUUGAAAGCCGAUGGAUACUGUAGAGCUAGAGUCCGGAAGAGGCGAGUGGAAUUCCUGGUGUAGCGGUGGAAUGCGCAGAUAUCAGGAAGAACACCCGUGGCUAAGGCGGCUCUCUAGUACGGUACUGACGCUGAGACGCGAAAGCGUGGGGAGCGAACAGG
rnacentral:rRNA from 1 species